CAAAAGACUUUGACUCUCCCGUACGACGCCAGAACGUAUUUCGCCCUGUUUACCGCAACAUCUCCCACUCCGAGUCCGGGGGCCCCAGAAUUGAGAGGCACUCGUCCUCCAGUCCCACCUAUUCAGAUGAGGAUGACUCCCCCUUUAUGUCCCCUGAGAAACCCAGUGGGGGAGGGACAACCGUCCCGACUUCUAGUUUGUCAGAGGAUGCGGAUCCGGCCACAGCCGAGCUCUUCUCCAGGGGUAUGAAGAGGACCCNNNNNNNNNNGUGAACCCGCAUGCAGCAGAGAAGAAGGUGGCUGAGGCCAACCAGAAAUACUUCUCCAACAUGGCAGAGUUCCUCAAGGUCAAGAAGGAGGGAGAGGGAAAGUGAGGAGUACACAUACAAUUUAUCAUACACAUCCACACAUAGACUUACACACAGGAGAGACUGAUAUACAGACAUACCAACUUGUAUUUCAAAAUGAAUGCAGAUGGAGUGAAAUGCAUUCACACUGACUGAUUGAUCAGGUGUCAUUGCAUANNNNNNNNNNGGGCAGCUGCCUGCCAUCAUCAUAUGAUCACUUAGGGUUCCACCGUCCUCGUCAGACCAUGCCCCCCUCCCCGUCACUGUCCCCCUCCCUACCCCAGUCCAGCCACCCCAUCUACCCCACUCCCCAAACAUGUCCUCCCCCUCUCCCACCCCACUACAAGCCCCAAAGGGGCCUGUAUCACAGCUAUGGUGUAGGUAGCUACUCCAGAUACAGUAAGCCCCAGAUGUACUCUCAAAGAGAGCCACUAUCCUGUGACGACUCAGACCGACAAGGUGGUGUACGGCGCACAGCAUCCUUGCACAACACAAAGGGAACAUCCAAUUUCCGCUCAAAAGACUUUGACUCUCCCGUACGACGCCAGAACGUAUUUCGCCCUGUUUACCGCAACAUCUCCCACUCCGAGUCCGGGGGCCCCAGAAUUGAGAGGCACUCGUCCUCCAGUCCCACCUAUUCAGAUGAGGAUGACUCCCCCUUUAUGUCCCCUGAGAAACCCAGUGGGGGAGGGACAACCGUCCCGACUUCUAGUUUGUCAGAGGAUGCGGAUCCGGCCACAGCCGAGCUCUUCUCCAGGGGUAUGAAGAGGACCCAGUCGCGCCUCGCCACCAUCCUGCCUGCCAUCUGGAGGGAGGACGCGGAACUGCAGGCAGAUAGCGUAACCGACGCCAAGAUAUCCCCCAUGCACCUGUUUCUGACUGAGAUCUCUAGUGUGUCAGAGUCAAAUGAUGCCAAGUCCAAGGAGGGGAGGACCUCAUGGGAGGGAGAGACAGAGCGGGAGAAGAAAAGGGAUGGGGAGAGGUCAGGGAACUUCCUCCAGCCCUUGAGAGGGGGGAUGCGUCGGUCCCGGUCGCUGGUCACAGAGCUGGGCUUUGCAGAACAGACAUUGGGGCCAGACAGAAACACACAGAUAGUGACAGAGGUGGAGAGGGUAAGGAAAGGCUCCAUCCAGAGAGAUCUAUUCCUCACUGAGAUCUCAAACACAGGAAGGAUGGAUGCAGGCAUGGAGAGAGAUCCGGUGAAGUUCCUCCACCCUCCUGGCUCCCGAUCGCGUCCCUACACCUACACCUGCGCCCCCGGCCUCCCGUCCUACGCUGAGGCCGAGGAGGCAUACUCCAGGGGCAUGAGGAGAUCCCGAUCCCUCCUCUCCGAAUUCACAGUGGGGAGGCAGGAGUCGGAGUCACAGGAGACGGAGAAGGAGACAGAGAAGGGACAGAUGACCAGAGAGGAGUUCCUGAAGGAGAUCCAAUCAGCAGAGACCUUUUUGACAGAGAUCAUAUCCAGACAAAACGUGACCACCUCCAACAAGCAUUGCGAGGACUUGUCUCAGUCACCCACUCCAAUGUCACCAGAAUACGAGUCAAUAUGCAUAGAUCCUGACUCCUCUCAGACCAUCCGUUUCCAAUCAGAGAGUUCCAUACGUACAUCAAACAGAGGCAAAGACGAUGUAGCACCGGAGGCCAUUUACGCCCAAGUGACUAAACGGGCAAAAAAGAGUGAGAUAAAGGUCACUAUACGGCCUGAGAUCCCAGUACUGCAAAUAGGAUCAAAUAAACAGUUUGUCAAACAGGAAGAGGAAUGUCCCACACACACGACCUGCCUCAGGGACUCACCCAGCUCACUCACAGAUCCCACCGCUGACACCAACUCUCACCCAGACUCUCAGCCCCAGCCGGGUGACUUUGUGUUCUCAGCGAUAAUGCCAAAAAAUGGCCUCCUCCUUUACCAAACAUUCCCCAGUACAAAAACAGAGGAGGACGUUUCAGAAGGUCCAGCCUUACCUGUAAGAGAAACACAGAGAGUCAGAGAAAGGGUCGAGCUCUCAAGACAAGCUCAAGUUCAGUCUUUAUCUCAAGACAGUGUUACUGGAGGAGUGGAAGACUCUGAAAAGAAACCCUGUGAUGAUGAGUCACCUAUUUAUGUAGAUGAGAAAGAGAGCAGGGGUCAGAAUAAUGUUGGGGAAAGGAGUUGUGAGAGAAUGAAAGGUGAUGCUGAGGUCAGAGACACAGGGCAAGGAUGUCAGAAGCAGGAAGUUGUUGAUGACAUUUUACAUGACUUAACAACAGAGACAUCUGAAACAGAUGGAGCAUGUCAAAUUGAAUCUAAAGAUUACAAGGAAGAAGGGUCAGAGAGUUCAAAAGGUUGUGACAGUCAAAUGAAGAACAACACAUCACAUUGUUCUACUGCUCAGUCACAUGACCCAAAUGUUGAAAGCUAUUUACAAAUCAACAAACAGAAUUCACAGAUCAACCAAGAAGGAAGGUCAGACCCAAGUCAAAAGAGCCCUGCAGCCGUUCCCACCACCCCAGACUGGGACCCAUCCUCUGACCUCUCUCUCUCCACCAUGACCCCCUCAGACUCAUUCAUUUCAUCUUUGACCCCCAGUUCAGCUGACUGUCUGACCCCAGGUGACCCGUGUGUUGGAGGUGAAGGACCAGGUGGUUGGAGGCUGCUGGGGACAGAAACCCCCCACAGAGACUCAGCCUACUUCUCUGACAAUGACUGGGAAGGGGAGGGGCUUAGCAGGAAGAGCAGUGAUGGACUGAGCGUGACCAGACCCGGCAGUGGACGAGGCGGAGAGAGGGGGACGCUGACAGGAAUAGAAGAGAAGACAGAAUUAGAGGAUGAGGGAGAAACCGGGGGAAAGAGUCCCUUGAAGAGGAUUUCAAAUAAGGGAAUUGACAUUGAGAGGGAAAAGGAGACAGUUCUUGAACAGAAUGCUCAUGUGCAGGAUAUCUCUCAAAACAGUGAUGAUGGAUAUAAAGACAUGUCAAGUAUUCAGGAGAACGAUCUCAGUCUGAAAGAAGUAGAACAUAAAACAGGGUUAGAAUCAGAACAGAGAGAAGACUCUGGAAUGUUCCACAAUGAGAGUGGAGAGUCAGAUGAAAAGGGACUCCAUCCGGGACUCCUGUCUGAUAACUCACAGACCAAGGAGAACAAUGAGUUUAUAGCUAAGCUGUUCUCUAAUUUAGAUGAUGCACCUCUCAAAGGGUUCUCUUAUAAUGAUGGAACUCAAAUGUGUAAUCAUUACACAGAAGGUGUGAUUUCUCAUGUGGAGUCGGAUGAUUUUAGAUUCCAUGACUCCACAGACAAAGACUUGACAUUGCCUUCUAAUAGUACCACUAAGACAGAUUGUUUGAAAUUAAUAUCUGCCAUUCAGACAAAGGAUAACAAACUUGAGAAUGAAGAACUUCCAGGUAUUGAAGAUAGAGAAAAUGAUAAUUCCAUGAAAGACACUACGGAACCAGUGACAGCGUUACAUGGCGACCAUGAUAACAGAGAAUCCAGGCUAUCUAGGUUCUACGGUAUUCAAACCAGCGAGGUCAAACUCAGUGACGAUAUUCCAGUAGUACUGGAUCCCAACGACGGAGAGAGCACCAAUGACGAAGAGAGCAAACUGUCCUCUUCUUUCUGGGCCGAGGGGGUCACUGAGGUGUCUGAAAGAGAAGACGGACAAGAUCUGGAGAUUCAACACACCGACGCCAAUGAGCUUGGCCUGAGAAACUUGUGUUACUCAGAGGAAAGCGAAGACGAGAGGGCCAAGGCCAAAUCAGAGACAGAGAAACAGCUUGCCGCUGGAGAGCUGUGUAACGCCAUGAAGGAGAAAUCUCCUCAGAGAGGACCAGUGAUGGGGAGCCAGAAUGGGUCUUUGAGCAGGGAUGGAUCUGCUGAGACUGUGGACAGGGAGUCAUCUAAGGAUCUGGAGAUGAAGGCUAAAGAGCUGUGGAACACUCUGGAGGAGGGGGAGGGGAGAGGGGAAGGAGUGGUGAGGGGCGAGUUUGACUGUCACCGUUUCCAGCAGGGAGACCUGCACCUGUGGCCAUCAGAGAACGACCAGUGGGCCUCGCCGGAGAACAGAAGCCAGGAAGCUGAACUCGGAUUGGAAUUCUUCUCAGCGUUCGGAAAUACCUGGGAGGAGAGGGAGCAGCUGGUGGUAGGCCGGGAAUUCUGGGAGGCUGAGGAGAACGAUGAACUGGCGGGGAGUGAGCCUCAUCCAGCCGUCCUCCAAGAUAGUGAAGAUACUUCUAAUGACGAGAGGCAGGGACGGGUAGCCUACCUGGAAAUAAAGGGAGAGUUGUCCCAGAAACAGGCUCUCUCCAGUAGCAUUGACAGUCAGCUAUCCCAGGCACUGGAUGUACAGCAAGAGGAAAAUAUAGAAAAUCCAGAUAGGUUUGACGAUAAUGAUGUUGAAGGUGAUCAAAAUGUUGAAGGUGUUCAGCUAGUGGUUGAGGUGGAAAACCGAGAAAUCCCAGAGCAUGAGACCAAUGCAAGAGGGAGGGAGCAGUUCAGGUCACUCACUGAGAUGGGUGGAGACAGUGAGGGUCAAACUGCAUCUCUUCUAAACGACUUGGAUGGAAACAUUGCUCAAGAUGAGGGAAAUCAGAACUUCAACAGGUUGAAUCAUCUCAGUGAAGUCCAAAUGGAAGAAGGGGCAAUGGCAGAAAAUAACAUAGAAAAAGAACAGGACUUUGAAUUAGACAACCAUCUUGCUCCCACAGUAAAGAGUAUAUAUAUGGGUGUAUCUAUCUGCCUUACUGGAGUACCACAGGUAGAUUUGUCAGGAUUAAAACAUAUUGAGCCAAGCAUACGCAUUGAAGAAGCUGACUCUACUCGCCAGCUUGUGGGGGAGGACAGAGAAGGGGGAGUAGACAUUGUAACCACAGGUGAGGAUUUGAGAGACAUAUCUCUUCUAUGUGACCCGGUGUCUUAUCCCAAUGAUAAUGACUUGGAGGAUAUAGCCUCUUGUACAGAUCGGUCUGGUUCACAAGGAGACAACUUUCAGUUCAGUUCUGUAGACUUUCCCAGCCCUCCUCCUAGCAUGGAUCUUGAUAUGCAAGAAGACAGGUUGCAGAGUUUAGAUGAUUCUUUUCCUAGUCCCCCACCUUCUGUCAUAGAAAUAGACGACGAUCAGGGUCUUAUAAACCUUGAUUAUUUGGGCUCAGAUUUCAUUACCAGUGCUGAGAGAGACCCAACAAUGCCCCCCACUCCUCACACUGAUAUCCCAGAGCCGCCCCCCUUACCUCCCACCACAACCCACAGCAGAGGGAUCUCUGCAAACCUCAACCUUUCACCUCUACAUCCAACACUUCCAUUAUUCUCAGGUGAAAGCCAGAACCAGAGCCGCCUCACAUCAAACAUGUCCGAGGAUGACAGAAAUAACCUGUCCCAGAAAAACACAACCACCACUUCCACCACACUUCCCUCAUUGCCCCAGAGUAACUUCAACACCAUCCCAGAGCUGUUGAUCUCUGAGUGGAAGGAUUUGGACGAGGAGCCUCUUGAAGACUUUGAGAAACUGGAGCAGCUGUGUUGCAUAUCUGGGGAUGAGGAGGACACCCUGGGUGACCUCUUCCUGGGGAAUCUGGAGCUGUUGGAGUCUAUGAAGAAGACGCCUGAGCAGAAAGCUAAGGGUUCUGGAGAGAGCGAUAAAGGUGAAGAGACCUGUGGGACCUCCAUGCCUGAGGGGAAGAGGAGAGUGGAACUGAAAGAGGAAGUUGACGGAAUCUCUGAGAGCGCUGACUGGCUGGCCAGGUCGGUUCCAUCGGCGGUCCAGGACGUCCCAACUGGGGCUAAACUUUCACCUCAGGAGAAGAGGCGUGAACUACAGUUCCCAUCAGCCCUUUCACCAUGUCAUUCUCCGGACUCCAAGGACCAGAGGUCACUUUCCAAGAUGCCCACUAAAAAUGGCCUAAUGAUGCAGGUGUGUGAGGAGAGACUGCAGUUCUCUCUCUGUGAGAACGUUAAAACAAACGUCCUCCGGGGGGCGACAGUGAGCGACAGCGUCAUUCUCCGCCCAUGGGGAGACCAGCCCUUAGAUGGGGGAGGAGACACAAUCAGUGUGAAGGAUGUAGGAAGCGAAGAGGAGCCGGACACCGAACCCAAUUCUGAACCCCAGAGUGAGUCUGAUGUGACUGACAGUGAACCACUGACUGUGAUCCAGCAGCCAGAAGUUACACCCCCUCAGCCUGUGGCAAACCAAGCAAUGAAAGCCAAACUGGCUCGCCUGUCCCUCUCCCUCUCCCUCCCUCCUCUCCCUCUUGCUCUCCCUCUCUCCUCCAGUCCCAAGGGAGGGUUCAGGGAGGGUGGGCUACACAGAGACAGGAGUGGGAGACGGAGGGGUGCGUCCCCAGGAAGUGACCCCGAUGAGGAUGAGGAAGAAGAGCAGGAAGACGAAGGCUCCAGGAGGGUGAUUGUUGUCACGGAAACAGACGUUGGCAAAAGGGUGGGGCUCAGGAGUCUGCUGAAGUCGCCAAGGGAACCGAUAGACAAAGAGAAAGACAGAGGGAGAAACGUGUCCUUUUUUGAUGAUGUCACUGUCUAUCUCUUUGAUCAGGAAACUCCAACCAGUGAGCUGAGUAGUUCCACAUGCACCAGUCCAGCUCCAGCUCCUAACAAAAACACUAAAUUUGAUUUACAUGGAGCAAACAGCAAAGGCAAAGACUCCAAAAGAAAAGGGGACUUGUCAGUCAAACCGAGGUCGCUCGUGGGGGCCAACCCAGUGACAUCCUCGCGUUUUACCGUCAGCCCAGCCGAUGACCCCCACUUGGUGUGAGGCAGGGUUCCGGAAUCCUCUGAGUUGUUCUGUAACCCUCAGAACAGGGACCUUCUGAGAGUGGCCAGUGGAUUCCCCUCCAACCAUAACCAUUCUCAGAGGCUAUUUUUUUAUCGAUCAGGCAACGGAAAGAAAAGACCCCCGUUCUAAAAGCUGGACACAUUCCAGGUUUAACCAGCUACCAGUCCUUGUACGAGAAAGGUUGUUGAUAUAAUAACUCCUCCCUUUGCCACUGUAACCUAGGGUCGAUUUAUAGACACUGGCUGGAAGUGGUUGAUGGCAAAGGCAGUUUGUCCUAGGCGAAGAACAGUCUGGAGCUUUGUCAAAUCUGAAACGGAUUGACGGCUAUGCAAUGGGAGUCAUUGUGUACCAGCUUACCUUCUCUUUACCUGCUUCUUUCGGUUGUCUUUACCCAGUAUGUACUGGGGGAUGCACUUUCUUUUAGUCAUGUAUAUCUGUCUAUGUGGAAGCUUGGAUUGAAAUCUUAAAUUUGUAAAAACGAUUUUCAUUGCAGUCAGUCAUACUUGUAGGCAGCAGUUGGGGCCAGAAAACAAUCUUAACUCCUGUAUUUGAGAGUACUCAUUCAACAUUUGUGUACAAAGAUAGUGAUACAAGUGUAUACAAUAUAAUUUUAGAGCUGUUUAAUUUAGAUGUAUUCUUAGACUGCACGAAAAGAUGAAAACAAGCUAUGUUUCUAUAUACUUUUAUUCUAAAAGUCUAUGUCUAGCUAUUAUUUAUUUAAUGUAUUCAUUAUUUAUUUAAACAUUAUUUCCAUGCUUUGUAAAUAUUGUUUAUUUAUUUUGGUGCAAUUAAUUUAUCUCUCAGAAUUGUUUGGGACAAAAUGCAUCUAAGUAAUAGCUUCUCGAUUUAAUUAUUCUUCAUAACAAAUAAAGCAAGAUAUUUUCCCCAACCCCCAAAAAUAUUGAGUAUAAUUUCAUGUCUUUAUAACUGCCAUCCUGUGCUUAACUUAUGUCCUCAACUUGUAGGGUUUCCCAAACUGGGUCCUGGGGCCCCCACGGGUGCAUGUUUUGGUUUUGUCCCAGCACUACACAGCUGAUUCAAAUAACCAACUCAACAUCAAACUUUGAUGAUUUUAAACAGCUGUGUAGUGCUACGGAAAAAGGGGGGGGGGGGGGGCAGGACUGAGUUCGGAAAACCCUGCUCUAAUAUAUAUAUAACAUGUUUCAUUAUUUUCUAAUAUGAUUCAAUGUAUAGUUGUCUUCUCAUAAUUGUACUUUGUUUGAGGACAAUUGAUGUAUCUUAGCAUGAUAAAACGGAAGCUUCUCAUCAGUAAAUAUCUCCAAAAGUUCAUGUAUUUGUUGAUUUACAUUCAUUUUCUACUAAUAGCAACCCAUCAUGCAGUCAAGCUCCAACUAGUCCCUUUGUUUAGUCUGUUUCAACAUCUGUUUAAAACCUGUAUUGUUUAAAGAAUGGGUUUCAUGGGAUGCUGUAUAAAACCAGGGGAAAUAAAAACAACAUAAAAACUGUGAAACAUUUAUUGAACUGUUUGAUGAAAAUAAAUUGUACUGUCUUAUAUUCUUAAGUCAGAGUAUUCCUUUUGGUGUCAAAAGAGACUGGACUGGUGUUCAAACAGAAGGUCUUCUCUAGAUGCUUUAUUCAAUUUGUUUCUGGAAGAAAGGAUCAAACUACUGUAUUAUGUAGCUAACAAUGGAUGGCUCAAGGGAAGUUGCAUAACAAUAGCUAAUCUUAUUUCCCAUCCCCCAUCUCUGGUUUUGGGGGAAUGAUGCUUAUUAUGAAAUUGGGACAAAGGAUGGUCAAGGAUAGGGUGAAUAACUAAUUUCCAAAAUACUCUACACGGAAUGACUAGCCAUUGAAUAUAGAAAGCAUUAAGGCUGGAAAUAUGAGUGAGAUAAAGACCAUUCACGUUUAUCCAGGUCUGAUACUGGCCUAUACUACGGAUAAAAACAGCAGUUCCCAUAAAGCCUUACUCAAGGCUCAACGUUACAAACCUCUGACCACCCAUUGGAUUAUUUAUGGUGAUGCCUUUCGUCUGCGACUCCCUAUAGAGGCGACGUUGAUAGCAUAAGCAAACAUUUUUAACGUCUAACACAUUUCGAAAGUUGUUGGAUUUGUAGGGUUUCUUUUGACGGUAGGAGUUUGGAACUCCGAAG
rnacentral:lncRNA from 13 species